AGACAAGUGCCGUAGAAUAGUGUUACUUCGCUCAUCACGACGGGGUCGCGGGUUCGAGUCCCGCCUUUUCCACCA
rnacentral:tRNA from 1 species